rnacentral:tRNA from 1 species
GCCUGGGUGGCUCAGUCGAUUGAGCAUCUGACUUUAGCUCAGGUCAUCAUCUUGCCAUCUGUGAGCUCAAGCCCCACAUUAGGCU